rnacentral:tRNA from 1 species
UAAGUGAAAGCCAAAAAGCGGCACCUAGCUGUUAAUUAGGAUAUUGUAGUGGGAUAAAUUACUCAUUUAA